rnacentral:rRNA from 1 species
GAUGAACGCUAGCGGCAGGCUUAAUACAUGCAAGUCGAGGGGCAUCAAGGUACACGAAAGUGUAUUGUUGGCGACCGGCGGACGGGUGAGUAAUAGGUAGGUAACCUACCUCAUACUGAGGCAUAGCUGGGAGAAAUUCCAGGUAAUUCCUCAUGAGGUUAUAUGACACAUGUGAUAUAAUCAAAGGUAUCGCAAGGUACUGGUAUGAGAUGGGCUUACUGACCAUUAGCUAGUUGGUGAGAUAAGAGCUCACCAAGGCGAAGAUGGUUAGGGGUUUUGAGAGAGAGAUCCCCCACAUUGGAACUGAGAUACGGUCCAGACUCCUACGGGAGGCAGCAGUAGGGAAUAUUGGGCAAUGGGCGGAAGCCUGACCCAGCCAUGCCGCGUGAAGGAGACGGCCUUAUGGGUUGUAAACUUCUUUACUAUGCGACUAACUAGAUUUACGAGACAAUUCUAUAGAAUGUAGCAUAGCAAAAAGCACCGGA